CUUCAGACCAUUGAAUAUGGCGGCCACUUUCACAGCUCAAACACCAAUAGCCGCCUUCUCAAGGUCGAAGUUCCUCUCAGGCAAUUCCAACAGACUGCCUCGCCAAUUCACCAUCACUCCAGCUCGCGUCGCCAAUACCACCACCUCUUUGAGAGUGAGCGCCAAGAAAGGCGAGUGGCUGCCUGGUCUUGCCUCCCCCGGCUACUUGAAUGGCAGGUAUAUAUGUUUGUUGUAGACCAUAGUGACAUAGUCGAUUAAUCUAUCUGUUGUUGUUAUAAACCUAUUGGAUGGGGG
rnacentral:lncRNA from 1 species